UGUUCUCUUUCUUUCAUUUUUCAUUCUAUGUACUGCUAAUACUAGAGAGUAUGUCAAGACUACUGGAUGUCAGAGGACUGAGAGUUGUCUGUAUGAGUACACUGCUGCUGCCAAGAUAACUGGAGGAAGACAAAUUGAUGUCUCAGCUCAUGUAGAAGUGUUUUGUGAAUCAGUUGGUCGGUUUGGUGAUGAGAUGUCAGUGAGAUCUUGCAUUAAUGUCAAGAA